UAUGGGASAAGGAUGGGCAUGCGUGCCAUUAGSURGUUGGCGGGGUAACGGCCCACCAAGGCKACUAUUCKAGGGGAUCUGAGAGGAUGGCCCCCCACACUGGURCUGAGACACGGACCASAYWCCUACGGGAGGCAGCASUAMGGAAUAUUGGUCAAUGGGCGCAMGCCUGAACCRGCCAUGCCGCGUGCAGGAAGACGGCCCUCCSGGUUGUAAACUGCUKUUGUACGGGAAUAAACCUCGCUACGUGUAGCGRGCUGAAUGUACCGUAAGAAUAAGGAUCGGCUAACUCCGUGCCAGCAGCCGCGGUMAUACGGAGGAUCCAAGCGUUAUCCGGAUUUAUUGGGUUUARAGGGUGCGUAGGCGGCCUGUUAAGUCAGGGGUGAAAGACGGUGGCUCAACCAUCGCAGUGCCCUUGAUACUGAUGGGCUUGAAUGGACUAGAGGUAGGCGGAAUGUGACAAGUAGCGGUGAAMUGCAUAGAUAUGUCACAGAACACCGAUUGCGAAGGCAGCUUACUAUGGWUUUAUUGACGCUGAGGCACGAWAGCGUGGGGAUCGAACAGGAUUAGAUACCCUGGUAGUCCACGCCCUAAACGAUGAACACUCGCUGUUSGGCGAUAAACGGUCAGCGGCUAAGCGAAAGCGUUAAGUGUUCCACCUGGGGAGUACGCCCGCAAGGGUGAAACUCAAAGGAAUUGACGGGGGCCCGCACAAGYGGAGGAGCMUGUGGUUUAMUUCGAUGAUACGCGAGGAACCUUACCCGGGCUUGAAAGUUAGUGAAGUAUCCAGAGAGGAUGCGCCCUUCGGGGCACGAAACUAGGUGMUGCAUGGCUGUCGUCASCUCGUGCCSUGAGGUGUUGGGUUAAGUCCCGCAACGAGCGCAACCCCUAUGAAUAGUUGCCAGCAUGUAACGGUGGGGACUCUAUUCAGACUGCCUGUGCAAACAGAGAGGAAGGAGGGGACGASGUCAAGUCAUCAUGGCMSUUACKUCCGGGGCUACACACRUGMUACAAUGGWCGGUWCAGAGGGCAGCUAUAYAGCAAYGUAAUGCCAAUCUCAAAAAGCCGUUCACAGUUCGGAUCGGGGUCUGCAACUCGACCCCGUGAAGUYGGAUUCGYUSGUAAUCGCGUAUCAGCAAUGACGCGGUGAAUACGUUCCCGGGCCUUGUACACACYGCCCGUCAAGCCAUGGAAGCUGGGGGUACCUAAAGUCCGUAA
rnacentral:rRNA from 1 species